GUGAAUCAUCGAAUUUUUGAACGCAAAUUGCGCUUCCUGGUAUGCCGGGAAGUAUGCCUGUUUGAGGGUCAGUAUUAACAAAAUAUCGGUUUGGUUGCGAAUUGUGACGUUUCCGGAGUUUGGGCUAUAUUCACUUUUUUGGUUAAGGGGCUUAAAAUUGAUCUUUUUUGCGUAUUUUUAGACGUACAUAAUUUUUUUUUUUAUUUGUCUUAUCUUUUUGUCAUAAUCUUAAUAGAUGUGUUGACAUC
rnacentral:misc_RNA from 1 species